UUAGGUCUUCUCUCAGGUAGUACAAGGAUACUUUAUUUGGUACCAUCAUGUGUUUUUCCCUUAUGCAUAUCAUUCUUUGUUCCACUACCAAUGCAUAUUCUUCUUUCAGUCAUCUCUAACAUUCUUCCUUUUUCACAAUUGAUUUGGUUUUUCACAUUCUUUGCUGCUAUUUCCCAUAGCUACAGAUGCAGGUGUCUACCUCAUUUUUAUCUGUGCUCCCUUCUAAGAAGUCACCGUUGAAAACAAAUGAAGGAAUAAAAAAGAUGCACAAGGAUGGCGUCGAUGGCGACGAAGUGGAUCUGAACGUGAUGAAGAUGGUGGCGCUACCACCACAAUUGUUGCCUCUCCGCCUCUUUUCAACUUUGUUUUUGUUGUGAAUCUGCAAUGCAAAUUAAAUUUCAAUAUGUUUUUUAUCAGGCAAUAGAUUAAGAACACGUUGAUCUUGAAAUAUCUAAGUACGGAAAUUUGGGAGUGACUUAUUUGGUCGUGAUACAUCCUCAUAUUUCCCCAUAUGGUCUUUUUACAUCUUGAAUUUUGAUACGGUCUUCUUUUAGUUCUUAUUAACAGGAAUUCUAGCUAGAGCAUGCAUAACUGAAAAGCUUGUGCAAAUAAUUGUAUGCCUUUUGGUGCGAUCUGCAUGCACUGGGCCUCUUACUUCAUGUUUGCAAUAUUUCAUAUAUAGGUGGCAAUAUCAGAAGAUUGGUUACUUGAAUAUGAGUGCAUCUACCACUACAUGGUGCUUCCAUUCGACCACCUGGGACACCUUUUAUGACAUGUUACUAUGUUGAAGGUGCAAUCAGUUUAUAACCAUGGACUGUUGAAGCAUGUGCCUUAUAAUCAGUACUUUCCUCAUUUGUAUCCAAUGGUUAUGUUUUACCAGAACCACGUACGUUUAUUCGCAUUUCAGGCUAUGGUCUUGCGGAACCAUGAAAAUAAGGUCCUGCAUGAGUUGUAUCUCUCCGUUUCCCUGUUGUUUCAGGAUGCAAUAGUUUAUUCGGAACUUACCAAUGUGUCUCCAGGUGUGUCAAUUGGCAAAAGUUUUGCCAGGCUAGGACAUCACUGGUCGUGUCAGGAAAUCAGUUUGGAAAUCCUCUUGGAAGGUGACCGAUGCGCGAGCGUUGCUGCAGAGUAGGUAGUCAAGAAGCAUGUUGCGGCCAUCGCUGCUGUCACCAGCACGCAACGCUGGAACCAAAACGGACGUGUGGAGCAUCAUGUGGAGGUCAUCGAUCAAGCGUGGGGAUGUCGGCUUUCCUUAGGCUUGGUCAUCAAAGCAUGUCUAUCGAGCGAGCAGUCAUUUAAUUGUGCAACAGUUGUUCUGACAAGAGAUGCUUGUGGAGGAAUAUCGGAGUGACUGCAUACUGACACAAGAAGGCUAGAACAAUGACUCGAAAAUCGGUUUUCUUGGUAUAGGCGAUGGAAGUGUACAAAAGUGCUAAAAUAAUGAUUGAUGGUCUAAUUGAGUGAAGAUAAAAGACUAAAAAGUUUUGAUCUACAUGCUACAAUCAAGCCAUCAGUAGAUCAAUAGGAAGGUGUGCACUUGAAAUUUGUCAUGACUUACUUCCAGGUGUUCCCUGCGGCCACUGCCUCCCCGUGCUCCGGUAAUUUUCGCAAAACAACAACUGCCUAGAACACAAAUUAGUAAGUUAGCUAACAUUCUAUGCUAGCUUUGCCAAAAAGAAAAGUACAAAUUUGUUAAAAAAAAUCUUUACUAUUUUGUAGAAUAAAGAUGUAUAGUUUUGCAGAAUCAAACAUACCCAACUUCUUCCGCAUCCUCGGUAACUUAGAUGUAUAAUCAAGAAACAAUUUUUUUGAACAAUUUCUUGAAUUGAACUAACUUUCAGUCAUAGCUUAAGCUAUCUUAAGGGUACAAUAACAAGAAAUCAUUACGGAAACAGGUUAUAGACACUAUUAUGUUCUGUUACUAUCUUUGAAUCUUGAAACCAAUAUUUAUGUUUUCUCGUAUUUGCGUUCAACAACGAUUUGUUAUAUUAUCACGAAGUUUGGUUCUUUAUUGACAUGCAGAAUCUGUCUUAGCAUUGUUGGCUGCUUCAUCAUGUUGGAGUGAUUUUUCUCAGGUCUCAUCAUCUCAACAAAUCACAUGUAGAAGAGAGAAGAAACUUGGCACAACUUUCAGCAAACAAUUAAAAUUAGAGGGAGAUAGGUACACGUCAAGAAAAAAACCUUGCUGUGUUGUCAAAAAGGAGAGGCAGCACAUCAAUAGUGGAACUGUGGGAAUGAUCCCUGGAGCGAAUAGUGGUUGGAUUUGUCGAGCAGCCCACAUGACAGGCAGUGUCGGCUGCCAUCCUCAAGAAUACCGUGGUGGCGCAUCCAGCUCUGGUUCCGGAGGUUCAUUGCCGCCCCGCGGAUAUUCAUCCCCUCUUCGCCCGAGCAGCGGUGGCAGGAUGCACUCUCAACAUCUACUGGUUCGUGGCUCUCAGAUGCGUGAGCGCUUUCCCCAAUAAAUGGUUGCAGGUCGGACAAGGCUCACAGAGUAAGUUGUGUAUGUAUGCUAUGCGACCUGGGCAGAAGGACAUGCUAGAUGUGAUGAAUCGGUGGCGCAGGCCAUGGGGAGCAUUGUAGUGUACUCGAUCUGCUUCAAUUGUACUCGAUCUGCUUGAAUUGGGGAAAGGUAGUGGCAAGUAGUAUCACAGGAGAGAAAGAAAAAGCUAGAAGGGGAUUUGACAGAAUGC